AGAGUUUGAUUAUGGCUCAGGACGAACGCUGGCGGCACGCCUAACACAUGCAAGUCGAACGGUGUUAAUUGGUUACUGAAUUGACAUAGUGGCGGACGGGUGAGUAACACGUGAGCAACCUGCCUUCAAGUGAGGGAUAGCUUCUGGAAACGGAUGGUAAUACCUUAUAACAUAAUCUUAUCGCAUGGUAGGAUUAUCAAAGAUUUAUCGCUUGAAGAUGGGCUCGCGUCUGAUUAGAUAGUUGGUGAGGUAACGGCUCACCAGGUCGACGAUCAGUAGCCGGACUGAGAGGUUGAACGGCCACAUUGGGACUGAGACACGGCCCAGACUCCUACGGGAGGCAGCAGUGAGGGAUAUUGCACAAUGGAGGAAACUCUGAUGCAGCGAUGCCGCGUGGAGGAAGAAGGUUUUCGGAUUGUAAACUCCUUUUAUCAGGGACGAUAAUGACGGUACCUGAAGAAAAAGCUCCGGCUAACUACGUGCCAGCAGCCGC
rnacentral:rRNA from 1 species